AAUGAACGCUGGCGGCAGGCCUAACACAUGCAAGUCGAACGAGUGGCGGACGGGUGAGUAAUGUCUGGGAAACUGCCCGAUGGAGGGGGAUAACUACUGGAAACGGUAGCUAAUACCGCAUACCAUCGGAUGUGCCCACAUUGGAUUAGCGAGUAGGUGGGGUAACGGCUCACAUAGGCGACGCUCCCUAGCUGGUCUGCGAGGAUGACCAGCCACAAUGGCAUUGAGACACGGUCCAGACUCCUACGGGAGGCAGCAGUGGGGAAUAUUGCACAAUGGGCGCAAGCCUGAUGAAGCCAUGCCGCGUGUAUGAAGAAGGCCUUCGGUUUGUAAAGUACUUUCGGCGAGGAAGCGUUACUCGACGAAGAAGCACCGGCUAACUCCGUGCCAGCAGCCGCGGUAAGAC
rnacentral:rRNA from 1 species